rnacentral:tRNA from 1 species
AUUAUUUUGGCAGAUUAGUGCAUUAAAUUUAGAAUUUAAUUAUAUAAUUUUAAAUUAUAAAUAAUAC